CCCAGACUCCUACGGGAGGCAGCAGUGGGGGAUAUUGCACAAUGGGGGGAACCCUGAUGCAGCGACGCCGCGUGGGUGAAGGAGCGUUUCGGCGCGUAAAGCCCUAUCGGCAGGGAAGAAGGAGGACGGUACCUGACUAAGAAGCCCCGGCUAACUACGUGCCAGCAGCCGCGGUAAUACGUAGGGGGCAAGCGUUAUCCGGAUUUACUGGGUGUAAAGGGGGCGCGGACGGCAGCGCAAGCCAGGAGUGAAAGCCCGGGGCCCAACCCCGGGACUGCUCUUGGAACUGUGCGGCUGGAGUGCAGGAGGGGCAGGCGGAAUUCCUGGUGUAGCGGUGAAAUGCGUAGAUAUCAGGAGGAACACCGGUGGCGAAGGCGGCCUGCUGGACUGCGACUGACGUUGAGGCCCGAAAGCGUGGGGAGCAAACAGGAUUAGAUACCCCCGUACA
rnacentral:rRNA from 1 species